AGCAGCCGCGGUAAUUCCAGCUCCAAUAGCGUAUAUUAAAGUUGUUGCAGUUAAAAAGCUCGUAGUUGAAUUUCGGGGUUAGUAGGUUGGUCAUGCCUCUGGUAUGUACUGGUCUCACUGAUUCCUCCUUCCUGACGAACCUUAAUGCCAUUAAUUUGGUGUUUCGGGAAAUUUGGACUGUUACUUUGAAAAAAUUAGAGUGUUUAAAGCAAGCUAACGCUUGAAUACAUUAGCAUGGAAUAAUGAAAUAGGACGUUCGAUCCUAUUUUGUUGGUUUCUAGGAUUGACGUAAUGAUUAAUAGGGAUAGUUGGGGGCAUUAGUAUUCAAUUGUCAGAGGUGAAAUUCUUGGAUUUAUUGAAGACUAACUACUGCGAAAGCAUUUGCCAAGGAUGUUUUCAUUAAUCAAGAACGAAAGUUAGGGGAUCGAAGACGAUCAGAUACCGUCGUAGUCUUAACCAUAAACUAUGCCGACUAGGGAUCGGAUGAUGUUAAUUUUUAAUGUACUCAUUCGGCGCCUUA
rnacentral:rRNA from 1 species